rnacentral:rRNA from 1 species
UACGUAGGGUGCAAGCGUUUGUCCGGAAUCAUUGGGCGUAAAGAGCGUGUAGGCGGCUCGAUUAGUCCGCUGUAAAAGUCCAGGGCUCAACCCUGGGAUGCCGGUGGAAACUGUCGGGCUAGAGUCCGGGAGAGGCGAGUGGAAUUCCUGGUGUAGCGGUGAAAUGCGCAGAUAUCAGGAGGAACACCAAUGGCGAAGGCAGCUCGCUGGAACGGUACUGACGCUGAGCGACGACGAACGUGGGGAGCAACGG